rnacentral:rRNA from 1 species
AUUGAACGCUGGCGGCAGGCCUAACACAUGCAAGUCGAACGAGUGGCGGACGGGUGAGUAAUGUCUGGGAAACUGCCCGAUGGAGGGGGAUAACUACUGGAAACGGUAGCUAAUACCGCAUACCAUCGGAUGUGCCCAGAUGGGAUUAGCUUGUAGGUGAGGUAACGUCUCACCUAGGCGACGAUCCCUAGCUGGUCUGAGAGGAUGAUCAGCUACACUGUGACGGAGAAACGGCCCAGAUUCCUACGGGAGGAAGCAGUGGGGAAUCUUGCCCAAUGGGCGCAAGCCUGAUGCAGCAAUGCCGCGUGUAUGAAGAAGGCCUUCGGGUUGUAAAGUACUUUCAGCGGGGAGGCGUUACCCACCGAGGAAGCACCGGCUAACUCCGUGCCAGCAGCCGCGGUAAUUC